CGGUAAGACAGAGGAUGCAAGCGUUGUUCGGAAUCAUUGGGCUUAAAGAGGGUGUAGGCGGCUGCGUAAGCGUUGUGUGAAAGCCCACGGCUCAACCGUGGAAUUGCAUGGCGAACUGCGUAGCUUGAGGUCGGUAGAGGUGCCUGGAACUCUAGGUGGAGCGGUGAAAUGCGUAGAUAUCUAGAGGAACGCCAGAGGCGAAAGCGGGGCACUGGGCCGAUUCUGACGCUGAGACCCGAAAGCGUGGGGAGCAAACAGGAUUAGAUACCCUGGUAGUCCACGCCGUAAACGAUGCACACUGGGUGCCGGUAUCUCUGACGAUUUCGGCGCCGAAGCAAAAGUGCUAAGUGUGCCGCCUGGGGAGUACGGCCGCAAGGCUAAAACUCAAAGGAAUUGACGGGGGCUCACACAAGCGGUGGAGCAUGUGGCUUAAUUCGAAGCAACGCGAAGAACCUUACCUGGGUUUGACAUCCAUGGAUACGGACGGGUAAUGCCGCGAGUUGCCUUUCGGGGUGAAACAUGGACAGGUGUUGCACGGCUGUCGUCAGCUCGUGCUGUGAAGUGUCGGGUUAAGUCCCUUAACGAGCGAAACCCCUAUCGUCAGUUGCCAGCGCGUUAUGGCGGGGACUCUGGCGAGACUGCCGGCGUUAAGACGGAGGAAGGUGGGGACGACGUCAAGUCAUCGUGGACCUUAUGCCCAGGGACGCACACGUGCUACAAUGGCGCG
rnacentral:rRNA from 1 species